rnacentral:rRNA from 1 species
UACGGAGGGGGCAAGCGUUGUUCGGAAUUACUGGGCGUAAAGGGCGCGCAGGCGGCUGCUCAAGUCAGGCGUGAAAGGCCUGGGCUCAACCCGGGAAUUGCGCUUGAGACUGGGCUGGCUUGAGUGCGGGAGAGGAUGGUGGAAUUCCCAGUGUAGAGGUGAAAUUCGUAGAUAUUGGGAAGAACACCGGUGGCGAAGGCGGCGAGCUGGUCCAUUACUGACGCUGAGGCGCGACAGCGUGGGGAGCAAACAGG